rnacentral:rRNA from 1 species
AUUGAACGCUGGCGGCAUGCUUUACACAUGCAAGUCGAACGGCAGCGCGGGCUUCGGCCUGGCGGCGAGUGGAGAACGGGUGAGUAAUGCAUUGGAACGUGCCCAGUAGUGGGGGAUAGCCCGGCGAAAGCCGGAUUAAUACCGCAUACGACCUGAGGGUGAAAGCGGGGGACCGAAAGGCCUCGCGCUAUUGGUGCGGCCGAUGUCGGAUUAGCUAGUUGGUGGGGUAAAGGCUUACCAAGGCGACGAUCCGUAGCUGGUCUGAGAGGACGACCAGCCACACUGGGACUGAGACACGGCCCAGACUCCUACGGGAGGCAGCAGUGGGGAAUUUUGGACAAUGGGGGCAACCCUGAUCCAGCCAUGCCGCGUGCGGGAAGAAGGCCUUCGGGUUGUAAACCGCUUUUGUUCGGGAAGAAAUCCUCUGGGCUAAUACCCCGGGGGGAUGACGGUACCGGAAGAAUAAGCACCGGCUAACUACGUG